AUGUAGCAAUACAUGGCGUACUGCUCAGUAACACGUGGACAACCUGCCCUUAGGUUGGGUAUAAACCCGGGAAACUGGGUAUAAUCCCCUAUAAGUCUCGGCUGCUGGAAUGCACCGAGAUUAAAAGCUCCGGCGCCUAAGGAUGGGUCUGCGGCCUAUCAGGUAGUAGUGGGUGUAGCGUACCUACUAGCCUACGACGGGUACGGGUUGUGAGAGCAAGAGCCCGGAGAUGGAUUCUGAGACACGAAUCCAGGCCCUACGGGGUGCAGCAGGCGCGAAAACUUUACAAUGCUGGCAACAGCGAUAAGGGAGCCUCGAGUGCCAGGUUACAAAUCUGGCUGUCGAGAUGCCUAAAAAGCAUUUCAUAGCAAGGGCCGGGCAAGACCGGUGCCAGCCGCC
rnacentral:rRNA from 1 species